UUGCUAUUUGGAGACACAUCAAAAUACAGACAAGGUCCUGCAUUUUGUGAAAGGUGGAAUAUUGAAUCUUCUUGCACUGAUCUAGAAUGGAUCGUGACUUCGCCCAAAAGUGAGGGGAGCAAGCGGCAGAAGAUUGUGACAUUGCUGCUAUUUGGAGACGCAUCAAAAUACAGACAAGGUCCUGCAUUUUGUGAAAGGUGCAAUAUUGAAUCUUCUUGCACUGAUCUAGAAUGAAUCUGACUUCGCCCAAAAGUGAGGGUGUGGUGUUGCUUUCUAAACUUGACUCAGUAUGCUACUCCAGACGCCUGUCCAGCCACCCUCAGCAUGUGCUCCGCUCACCGGCGCUCGCCAUUGCCCUGCAUUGACCGAGGCAUCGCUAGGAAUCUCCUUUUCCUAGCCCAGGUUCC